GAGCUCAGCUGGUACAGAAUAUGACACUUAAUCUCAGGGUUGUGGGUUCGAGCCCCACAUGGAGCA